AACAGAGGAACAAAAAUAGAUGUUUAAGGACAGAAGUCCCCAGCAGAGCAUCUUCACAUAAGCAGAAUGAGCAGACAGCAUCAGUCUCCUAUAACGACACCAAAGAUGGCUGUGCCACUCGCCUACUGAAAGCUGUCAGUUGACUUCACUAUCUCUGCGGAAUGGGUCCUCAGGUAUGUGGUGGCGAUGCUGAUUGUUGAUUGGUCAGACUCUAGAAUCACCUAGGAGAUUGCUGGCAAUGCCUGUAAAGCAUCCUCGUGAUUAGGUUAACUGAUGUGGGAAGCUCCAUCUUCACAGCCGAGGACACCACCCUCUGGGAUUCAUGCACUGCUGACUGAAAAGGAGAAAGUCAUCUGAGCACAAGAACUCAUCAUUCGUUGCUUCCAGCCUUCCAGCCUUCUCCUCUUGCCGCUGGGCCUCCCCUGCCUGUCACCUUGCCUCCUCCCCAGUCCUUAAGCCAGAAUCAAUCUUACCUCCCUUAACCUACCCCUUGUCCAGUAUUUGGUCACAGUCCUGAAAGAACAGAAACCAGGAGAUUUUCCUGUAGCUAAUUUCCUGCAACAACAAGAGAAAGAGAAAGAGAAGUAGCUUAUGACUAAAUGUGAAGAUGUGGCUUCUCCCUCUCCCUGGAUCCAAUCACUUAUUGAAUUAACACCAAGGAUCUCUUUCCAGAUGGGAGGACAAUCCUAGUAACAAAAUAAAAUAUGUCAGUGCCACUCAUUC